GGCUCGAUGGUCUAGUGGUAUGAUACUCGCUUUGGGUGUGAGUGGUCCCGGGUUCAAAUCCCGGUCGUGCCC